rnacentral:rRNA from 1 species
ACGGGGGGGGUAAGCGUUGUUCGGAAUUACUGGGCGUAAAGGGCUCGUAGGUGGCCAACUAAGUCAGACGUGAAAUCCCUCGGCUUAACCGGGGAACUGCGUCUGAUACUGGAUGGCUUGAGUUCGGGAGAGGGAUGCGGAAUUCCAGGUGUAGCGGUGAAAUGCGUAGAUAUCGAGAGGAACACCUGCGGCGAAGGCGGGUUGCUGGGCUGACACUGACGCCGAUGCGCGAAAGCUAGGGGAGCGAACGGGA